rnacentral:rRNA from 1 species
AUUGAACGCUGGCGGCAGGCUUAACACAUGCAAGUCGAACGAUGAACUUGGAGCUUGCUCUGGGGGAUUAGUGGCGAACGGGUGAGUAACACGUGAGUAACCUGCCCUGGACUCUGGGAUAACUUCGAGAAAUCGGAGCUAAUACCGGAUAGGACCCUGCACCGCAUGGUGUGGGGUGGAAAGUUUUUCGGUUUGGGAUGGACUCGCGGCCUAUCAGCUUGUUGGUGAGGUAAUGGCUCACCAAGGCGUCGACGGGUAGCCGGCCUGAGAGGGGGACCGGCCACACUGGGACUGAGACCCGGCCCAGACUCCUACGGGAGGCAGCAGUGGGGAAUAUUGCACAAUGGGCGCAAGCCUGAUGCAGCAACGCCGCGUGCGGGAUGACGGCCUUCGGGUUGUAAACCGCUUUUAGUAGGGAAGAAGCCUCUUGGGGUGACGGUACCUGCAGAAAAAGGACCGGCUAACUACGUGCCAGCAGCCGCGGUAAAAC